rnacentral:tRNA from 1 species
AUCGAUGUAGCUCAACGGUAGAGCUCCCGAAAGGGAAGUUGGUGGUUCGAUUCCACCCAUCGGUA